GGCGCGAUAGCUCAGUUGGUAGAGCAACGGACUGAAAAUCCGUGUGUCGCUGGUUCGAUUCCAGCUCGUGCCA
rnacentral:tRNA from 2 species